rnacentral:tRNA from 1 species
AUUCUGGCAGCUUACGACAGCAUUACUCUGAAGAAGUAAAGAAGGAGGUCACUCCCCCGA